rnacentral:rRNA from 1 species
UACGUAGGGGGCAAGCGUUGUCCGGAUUUAUUGGGCGUAAAGAGCGUGUAGGCGGCCAAGCAGGUCCGCUGUGAAAACUCGAGGCUCAACCUCGAGACGUCGGUGGAAACCGUUUGGCUAGAGUCCGGAAGAGGAGAGUGGAAUUCCCGGUGUAGCGGUGAAAUGCGCAGAUAUCGGGAGGAACACCCGUGGCGAAAGCGGCUCUCUGGACGGUACUGACGCUGAGACGCGAAAGCGUGGGGAGCGAACAGG